rnacentral:rRNA from 1 species
GAUGAACGCUGGCGGCGUGCCUAAUACAUGCAAGUCGAGCGAACAGAUGAGGAGCUUGCUCCUCUGACGUUAGCGGCGGACGGGUGAGUAACACGCGGAUAACCUACCUAUAAGACUGGGAUAACUUCGGGAAACCGGAGCUAAUACCGGAUAAUAUAUUGAACCGCAUGGUUCAACAGUGAAAGACGGUUUUGCUGUCACUUAUAGAUGGAUCCGCGCCGCAUUAGCUAGUUGGUAAGGUAACGGCUUACCAAGGCGACGAUGCGUAGCCGACCUGAGAGGGUGAUCGGCCACACUGGAACUGAGACACGGUCCAGACUCCUACGGGAGGCAGCAGUAGGGAAUCUUCCGCAAUGGGCGAAAGCCUGACGGAGCAACGCCGCGUGAGUGAUGAAGGUCUUCGGAUCGUAAAACUCUGUUAUUAGGGAAGAACAAAUGUGUAAGUAACUAUGCACGUCUUGACGGUACCUAAUCAGAAAGCCACGGCUAACUACGUG